CACAAUCUGAAAAUCAUAAUAUAUUCCUCUAGCAAUCAACAAAUUGAAUUGCCAUGGAGAAAUCAAUCAAGUUAGCAUUCCUCAUUACGGUGUUGGUUGUUGCAUCUCUUGGUACUAUAUUUCUUGACUAAUUUUUGUUUUGGGAGUUGUUAUUAGCACUCCAAAAAUCUUAUUUUACACUCCACACAAGUGCACUUUUCUUUCUAAUUAUAAAAAGUUUGAAGUAUAAAAUGAGAUUUUUUGGAAUUCUAAUAGCAAUUCCCAUUGUUUUUUCACCCAUUCCUUUCUCAUACGUUUUUUUGUAUCUUUUCUCUUUCAUCCUUGCAACUUUUCCGCAUACAUAGCAUAGUAGCAUGUAUAUUUUUUAUUUAAUAAUACAAAUUAUAUUCGUGGCAAGUGUGAAUCUUGGAGUCGAAGCAACUGAUAUUCAUAUUCCUGGUGUCUGCAGACAACCUAAGGAUUGUGAUGGCCGUAAUUGUGAAUGUGUCGGUCAAAGAUGUUAUUGUUCUAGCGAAGGAGUGAGAAAGUUCAUGUUUAGAGACUUUUCUACACAAUCGCAAGAGCAUAAGAAAAUUCCGUAAUCAGAAAUUUUCAAUUCUCGCAUUGACAUCUUAAAAUAUUUAUGAUGCUAUACAAGCACACAAGUUGUAGAUGCGAAGACUAUUUAAAAAUAAAUAAAAUAAACUUAUUACUCAUUAUUUAGUUGUGACUUCAUUGUCUGUAUGUCAAUAAAAUGAAAAAUACACUAGAGUGAUAUAAAGUUUGACAUAAUUUACAUACUCAAUUUAGAUGGGCAAUGAUAAUACAACAUAUGUUGCUUAUUUCAAAAUUGAUAUGGCUAAAAAUUGACCAUUGAAUUUAGAAACAAUGGGGCAUGUGUUAUAUCCCUAUUGCCACAUAUAUUAUCAACGUUAGCUAUAUGCACUUAUGCAAUGAUAGUAUCAUUUUAACGUUAACCAAUUCGUUAGUGAAUACAAUGUGCACUACUCGUUUAGCCUCAAACCAAUUAGGUUUUGUUUUAGCAGCUUAAAUUGUAUUGAUUGAAUAGAAUAAAGAGUCAUCGACAAAAAACCGGAAGAGAGGAAGAAACAAAACCAGCCAGCCGCCUAGCACUCACCACCGCCACCAUACCAUUGAAAUCAAAAGCUUACAUUCCAUUACUCCUUGCUAUCACUGCCACCAAAUCUCCAUGGUUUCUAAUUUAUUGAAAUAAAAUACCCAGAUGAAACUUUCCCAAUUUUGAGUUUAAUUCCCUCAAACUAAUAAUUAAUUAAUCCCAAAAUCCAAAUGAAUCCCUCAAUUAUCCAUCUGCCACCAUUGGUAUGAAAACGAAGACGUCGUGGCUGCUAGAGCGGCGGGACUCUGGCUACACGCAGUCUGGUUUAACGAAUUUGAAGAUCUUUUUCUGGUGUGUUGGUCGGCAGGAAUAAGUGUCAUGGCUAGGUUAUUCGCCGGUCGGAAAGCUAGAGAAUUGUUGUUGGGUUGGAGAAGAAAAAGGAAUAGCGACAUUAUAAUUUCCCAAUUGAGAUUUUCAGCCGAGUUCGUGAGAGAAUGGAAAGAGAACGCGAACACCGGAUUAAAGAUGUUGUAGAUGUCAAGAGGGUAGGAGAUAGAAUCAUGGCAAUCAAGAUUGUAAUAGGACAAGAACUU
rnacentral:lncRNA from 1 species